UUCAUGCAGCAUGCUUCCAGUAUUUACAUCAAAGAUUGUAAACAUACAGCUCUACAGCUUGCCCUUGAUUAUAGGCCUCACAGAACUCUUCAUAUACGUGGUUAUGGAUGUAAUGCAUAUUCCAAAUAUAACCCCUUCUCAAAAAGUCACCACCAUAUCUUGUUCCAUUGAGUUCGAGGAGAGCCCUAUCGACACUUUGAGGGUCUUGAGAUAGAAUAUAUGCAACCCUGAAAGUAUUUAUAGAAAUAUCACUUAAUAAGUUAUCAAACCAUGCAAUAAUAUGCAUUUGGCUUUUAGGGUAAAACAUUGCUACUCGAUGUGCACAACCAGUGGCAGAUCUCUUUAGGGACAGGCAGGGGCCAUGGCAUCCCCCAGGUUUUCCUUAUAUUUUGUAUUAGGUGUCAUAAAUCAAUUAGAUUUCAGCUGUUGCAGUGGAAAUGGGGUGUCGUAAAUUGCUAAAAGUUGCUGGUUCAACACUUCCACACAUCUUCUUUUUGCAUAUUUAUCUUCUACUUUUACAAAUUGUAUUAAAAAAAAAACACAUUUUUUUUUGGAUUUCGAACCCACAUCCUCUUGCUCUUUUCAAAAAAUUUAUACCACUAGGUCGGUUAUUAAUUAUUAUUACUUCUUGAAACUGUUUAAUAUAUAUUUCAUAGAAGUUUGGCACCCCCAACAAAUUAAUUCAAGAUCCGCCACUGUGCACAACUAAAAAGAAUCUAAAUGAGAUUCUAAGAAACAGACCCAUUGCUUCUAUCUCGACGAUAAUAAUCGGUACUCACAAACUCAACAACCCCAAAAAUAUCCAAAAUCUUUAGCUCUGAUUCUAACUAAUAAUGAAGUAAAGUCAAAGCAAUGAUGCGAUUGUGUAAAUGAGCCUGUAAAUAACGGUCAAUUUUAUGGUGUAUAAUUGAGACAUUCUUGCAUCACGCACAAACUAAUUUUCACUAUUGGAUCAAUAAAUCUCACCAUUAAAUUGAAAAGAAAUAUGAUGUGACUUAUUGAUCCAAUAAUAGAAAGAACAUUUAUGCAUGAUAUAAAACCAUUUUACUCGUGCAUAUAUUAGACAAAGCCGUAAUUACAACUCUAUUAUUCCAUCCCAUGUUCUAAAUUUACAUAUGAUGGGUAAAUUUAGAAAACAACUCGGAUAUCUUGUAGUCAUAUAAUAAGAAAGGGUUCUUACUCUUUUUUAUACAAAACUACAAAUAUUAUUUUCAUAUUCUGCUAUCAACCUAUGAGAAGGAAUCGUUGAGAUAUAAAUAAAUAAAUAUAGUGGGUGCAAUUUGCUGCAGGAAACAAUUGUUAAUUUAUUUUCAUCUCCUAAAUGCCUUGAUGCAGUUGUAGUAGGUAAAAUAGAUCAAAGAAAUCAAAAGAGAAGAGAAAUUACUUCCGCUUUAAAGUAUAAAUUGAAUCAACGAACCCACUUGGGUUGGCUUAGUGGUAUUGGCUUGGGAUCUGGGAGUGUGCUCCUCCUCAAAGUCUUAGGUUCGAUUCUCUCUGGUGUCAAUUUAGGUGAGUUAGUUUAACUUCUUAAAAAAAAAAAAAUUUGAAUCAACGAACAUGUAAAUAUUUGGAAUGAGCUUUAGUCAUAUUUCCUAUAAGAAAAGUAUAAUUAGAAAGGUUUAAAAGAAAAAAUUAAAAUAUUUAAAAAUAAAAUUCGAGGAAAAAAAAUUGAUACAUUUUUUAACUCAUGUUAGGAUAAUCCAUGUCAAACCUCGAUCCCAUGGGAAUAAUACAAUCCUUCAGAAGUAGAGCAAUAACACGCAUUGUUCCUUGAAUACCGCGUCCAAUCGCUCCCUAUGUUGGCUUUGCUUUCUAUCUUUGUCUAGGUGUUGCUCUUAUUGUAGCCUUUCUUCUGUUUUGUUUUUUUUAUGUGGUGGUGCUUUGGAUGUCGUCUCCUUGUUGUUUUGUUUAGUAGGGGGCCGAACCUUGGUGUUAUUUGGAACGUCUUUUGGCAGUUCAUCUAGUGUAUUUUGUACAAUUUACUAUUUUCUAUAUAUAUAUAUAUAUAUUUGUCAUUCAAAAAAAAAGUUUAUAUUUAGGAUAAAGAAAAGAUGGGUGGACUCUCUGUCAAGCUAAAUAUAAAUUGAAUUGUCUGAAAAUAAUAAAUAUUAUGACAUAAUAUUAAAUUUAUAGUUGAAGUGUCCUCGUGAGCUUAGCUCGAUUGGUAAGGAC
rnacentral:lncRNA from 1 species